GAUGUAUUUCUAAUGUUUAGGUGAACCGGUUUACAAUGCAGAGAUUGCGACAAGAAAUAACGAAGAACAACGUGUGUAUGUGUGCCAAUUACCAUGGAUAAUGCUCAAUUCUUCUGUUUCUAAAUGGCCCUUCACACUACAGGAAAGUGACAAUCAGUAAAAGUUAAGGUCAGACUUUGGAGAAGGGCGUUAGAGGAUUUGAGUAGAAGCUGGCGAGCGGUGUCCACAGAUUGUACAGCGACCAAGCGGCGAUGAAGAAUCAAUGUGUGGAUCUAUCAUUACCAUAUGGACUAGGCCUCUGCUUCUGGUUAUUACAAGCUAGGUAGUAUUGUGACAGUGAUCGGAAACUUCUACACGACUCAUCACCAUCAUGUCCAUGCCCCAGAAUUGGGUGAGUGCUCAAGGAAGAAUUUUGUAGUUCCACUGUUGGAUUCCAAGCAGGCAAUUCAUGAUCAGCAUUGCGCAAGCUAUGGAGUGAUUGACAGGUGGAGUGACUGCUGGGGUCAUGAACGAAGAAACAAUGAAGUCACUGGACAGCAAAACAGAUUAUUUAUUCCUAAUGUCGUUGCUCUUGCAAAAUUGCAGGCCUAUUGGUUAUGUGGUGGUUAUGUUGGUUUUAUCUUCCGGUUGGUUGUUAGUCCCCUACAAGAGUUGUCAUAAUAUGAAAAGGCUCCAAAAGGUGUCACGGUCAGGAAUCUUUUUCCAGGCAUCCGGUGAUGAUUAGGUAACCAAACCAUAUCACAGGAUGUGUGUUUAUGUGGUCUGGCAAAGUAAUGCUCUUCUUUUGUGGUAUGUGGAAAGUAAUGCUCUCUUUGUUAUUCAUUUUUGGAGCCGUUAAAUAUUUUUUCCCUCAUAAUAGUUUUAGAUGUUAUGCCUUAGCAUAUUAUAUCAACGAGAAGUGAAUGUGUUUUAGCUCGUAUCUUCUAAAUUAGUGUCUUCCACCGAUAUCAGAAAUUAAUGCUUCAUAUCAUGUUUU